rnacentral:rRNA from 1 species
CAGUCGCCGCGGUAAUACGUAGGGUGCAAGCGUUAAUCGGAAUUACUGGGCGUAAAGCGUGCGCAGGCGGUUUUGUAAGACAGAGGUGAAAUCCCCGGGCUCAACCUGGGAACUGCCUUUGUGACUGCAAGGCUGGAGUGCGGCAGAGGGGGAUGGAAUUCCGCGUGUAGCAGUGAAAUGCGUAAAUAUGCGGAGGAACACCGAUGGCGAAGGCAAUCCCCUGGGCCUGCACUGACGCUCAUGCACGAAAGCGUGGGGAGCAGACAGGAUUAGAUACCCCGGUAGUCCCUGUCUCUUAUAC